AUGAACGCUAGCGGCAGGCUUAACACAUGCAAGUCGAGGGGCAGCAUAAUGGUAGCAAUACUAUUGAUGGCGACCGGCGGACGGGUGCGUAACGCGUAUGCAACCUACCCUUUACAGGGGGAUAACACUGAGAAAUCGGUACUAAUACCCCAUAAUAUUCUGGGAGGCAUCUUUCGGAGUUGAAAGCUUUGGUGGUAAAGGAUGGGCAUGCGUUGUAUUAGCUAGUUGGUAAGGUAACGGCUUACCAAGGCGACGAUACAUAGGGGGACUGAGAGGUUAACCCCCCACAUUGGUACUGAGACACGGACCAAACUCCUACGGGAGGCAGCAGUGAGGAAUAUUGGUCAAUGGACGGAAGUCUGAACCAGCCAUGCCGCGUGCAGGAAGACGGCUCUAUGAGUUGUAAACUGCUUUUGUACGAGGGUAAACGCAGAUACGCGUAUCUGCCUGAAAGUAUCGUACGAAUAAGGAUCGGCUAACUCCGUGCCAGCAGCCGCGGUAAUACGGAGGAUCCAAGCGUUAUCCGGAUUUAUUGGGUUUAAAGGGUGCGUAGGCGGUUUAGUAAGUCAGCGGUGAAAUUUUGGUGCUUAACACCAAACGUGCCGUUGAUACUGCUGGGCUAGAGAGUAGUUGCGGUAGGCGGAAUGUAUGGUGUAGCGGUGAAAUGCUUAGAGAUCAUACAGAACACCGAUUGCGAAGGCAGCUUACCAAACUAUAUCUGACGUUGAGGCACGAAAGCGUGGGGAGCAAACAGGAUUAGAUACCCUGGUAGUCCACGCAGUAAACGAUGAUAGCUCGUUGUCGGCGAUACACAGUCGGUGACUAAGAGAAAUCGAUAAGCUAUCCACCUGGGGAGUACGUUCGCAAGAAUGAAACUCAAAGGAAUUGACGGGGGCCCGCACAAGCGGUGGAGUAUGUGGUUUAAUUCGACGCAACGCGAAGAACCUUACCAAGGCUUGACAUUGAUUGAACGCUCUAGAGAUAGAGCUUUCCCUUCGGGGACAAGAAAACAGGUGGUGCAUGGCUGUCGUCAGCUCGUGUCGUGAGAUGUUGGGUUAAGUCCCGCAACGAGCGCAACCCUUAUGGUCAGUUACUACGCAAGAGGACUCUGGCCAGACUGCCGUUGACAAAACGGAGGAAGGUGGGGAUGACGUCAAAUCAGCACGGCCCUUACGUCCGGGGCGACACACGUGUUACAAUGGUAGGUACAGAGGGCAGCCACCCAGUGAUGGGGAGCGAAUCUCGAAAGCCUAUCUCAGUUCGGAUUGGAGGCUGAAACUCGCCUCCAUGAAGUUGGAUUCGCUAGUAAUCGCGCAUCAGCCAUGGCGCGGUGAAUACGUUCCCGGGCCUUGUACACACCGCCCGUCAAGCCAUGGGAGUUGGGGGUGCCUGAAGUUCGUGACCGAAAGGAGCGACCUAGGGCAAAACCGAUGACUGGGGCU
rnacentral:rRNA from 1 species